rnacentral:rRNA from 1 species
CGACCGCUGGCGGCGUGCCUAAUACAUGCAAGUAGACCGCUGAAGGAGGAGCUUGCUUCUCUGGAUGAGUUGCGAACGGGUGGGUAACGCGUAGGUAACCUGCCUGGUAGCGGGGGAUAACUAUUGGAAACGAUAGCUAAUACCGCAUAAGAGUAGAUGUUGCAUGACAUUUGCUUAAAAGGUGCAAUUGCAUCACUACCAGAUGGACCUGCGUUGUAUUAGCUAGUUGGUGGGGUAACGGCUCACCAAGGCGACGAUACAUAGCCGACCUGAGAGGGUGAUCGGCCACACUGGGACUGAGACACGGCCCAGACUCCUACGGGAGGCAGCAGUAGGGAACCUUCGGCAAUGGACGGAAGUCUGACCGAGCAACGCCGCGUGAGUGAAGAAGGUUUUCGGAUCGUAAAGCUCUGUUGUAAGAGAAGAACGAGUGUGAGAGUGGAAAGUUCACACUGUGACGGUAUCUUACCAGAAAGGGACGGCUAACUACGUG